AUUCCAGCUCCAAUAGCGUAUAUUAAAGUUGUUGCAGUUAAUUAGCUCGUUGUUGGUUUUUUUUUUUUCUUUCUUUUCUUUCUCUUCUCUCUUCCUGUCCUGCUGGCCCUUUUUCUCGAGGCCUAUAGGUGCACUUAACCGUGUGUUUAUAGUGUUCGGGACUUUUACCGUGAGAAAAUUAGAGUGUUCAUAGCAGGCUAGUGCUUGAAUAUUACAGCAUGGAAUAAUGGAAUAGGAUCAUGAUCUUAUUUUGUUGGUUUCUAAGAUUAAGAUAAUGAUUAAUAGGGAUAGUUGGGGGCAUUAAUAUUUAGUUGUCAGAGGUGAAAUUCUUAGAUUUACAAAAGAUUAACUUCUGCGAAAGCAUUUGCCAAGGAUGUUUUCAUCA
rnacentral:rRNA from 1 species